GAUUGAACGCUGGCGGCAGGCCUACCACAUGCAAGUCGAACGGUAACAGGAAGCAGCUUGCUGCUUUGCUGACGAGUGGCGGACGGGUGAGUAAUGUCUGGGAAACUGCCCGAUGGAGGGGGAUAACUACUGGAAACGGUAGCUAAUACCGCAUAACGUCGCAAGACCAAAGAGGGGGACCUUAGGGCCUCUUGCCAUCGGAUGUGCCCAGAUGGGAUUAGCUAGUAGGUGGGGUAACGGCUCACCUAGGCGACGAUCCCUAGCUGGUCUGAGAGGAUGACCCGCCACACGGGAACUGAGACACGGUCCAGACUCCUACGGGAGGCAGCAGUGGGGAAUAUUGCACAAUGGGCGAAAGCCUGAUGCAGCCAUGCCGCGUGUAUGAAGAAGGCCUUCGGGUUGUAAAGUACUUUCAGCGGGGAGGAAGGGAGUAAAGUUAAUACCUUUGCUCAUUGACGUUACCCGCAGAAGAAGCACCGGCUAACUCCGUG
rnacentral:rRNA from 1 species